CCUACGGGAGGCUGCAGUGAGGAAUAUUGGUCAAUGGACGAGAGUCUGAACCAGCCAAGUAGCGUGAAGGAUGACUGCCCUAUGGGUUGUAAACUUCUUUUAUAAAGGAAUAAAACGAGGCACGUGUGCCUUUUUGCAUGUACUUUAUGAAUAAGGAUCGGCUAACUCCGUGCCAGCAGCCGCGGUAAUACGGAGGAUCCGAGCGUUAUCCAGAUUUAUUGGGUUUAAAGGGAGCGUAGAUGGGUUGUUAAGUCAGUUGUGAAAGUUUGCGGCUCAACCGUAAAAUUGCAAUUGAUACUGGCAGUCUUGAGUACAGGUGAGGUAGGCGGAAUUCGUGGUGUAGCGGUGAAAUGCUUAGAUAUCACGAAGAACCCCGAUUGCGAAGGCAGCUUACUAAACUGUGACUGACAUUGAUGCUCGAAAGUGUGGGUAGCAAACAGGAUUAGAUACCCUUGUAGUC
rnacentral:rRNA from 1 species